GACACUAACAAUCCUUCGGGGGCGUUAAUGGGCGUCGAGCGGCGGACGGGUGAGUAAUGCCUAGGAAAUUGCCUUGAUGUGGGGGAUAACCAUUGGAAACGAUGGCUAAUACCGCAUAAUGCCUACGGGCCAAAGAGGGGGACCUUCGGGCCUCUCGCGUCAAGAUAUGCCUAGGUGGGAUUAGCUAGUUGGUGAGGUAAUGGCUCACCAAGGCGACGAUCCCUAGCUGGUCUGAGAGGAUGAUCAGCCACACUGGAACUGAGACACGGUCCAGACUCCUACGGGAGGCAGCAGUGGGGAAUAUUGCACAAUGGGCGAAAGCCUGAUGCAGCCAUGCCGCGUGUAUGAAGAAGGCCUUCGGGUUGUAAAGUACUUUCAGUUGUGAGGAAGGGGGUAACGUUAAUAGCGNUAUCUCUUGACGUUAGCAACAGAAGAAGCACCGGCUAACUCCGUGCCAGCAGCCGCGGUAAUACGGAGGGUGCGAGCGUUAAUCGGAAUUACUGGGCGUAAAGCGCAUGCAGGUGGUUCAUUAAGUCAGAUGUGAAAGCCCGGGGCUCAACCUCGGAACUGCAUUUGAAACUGGUGAACUAGAGUACUGUAGAGGGGGGUAGAAUUUCAGGUGUAGCGGUGAAAUGCGUAGAGAUCUGAAGGAAUACCAGUGGCGAAGGCGGCCCCCUGGACAGAUACUGACACUCAGAUGCGAAAGCGUGGGGAGCAAACAGGANUAGAUACCCUGNNAGUCCACGCCGNAAACGAUGUCUACUU
rnacentral:rRNA from 1 species